CCUACGGGUGGCUGCAGUGAGGAAUAUUGGUCAAUGGCCGUGAGGCUGAACCAGCCAAGUCGCGUGAGGGAAGACGGUCCUAUGGUUUGUAAACUUCUUUUUUAGGGGAAUAAAGGUAUCCACGUGUGGAUUUUCGAAUGUACCCUAUGAAAAAGCAUCGGCUAACUCCGUGCCAGCAGCGGCGUUAAUACGGAGGAUGCGAGCGUUCUCCGGUUUUAUGGGUUUUAAGGGGUGCGCAGGUGGUAUUUUAAGUCGCGGUUAAAAUUUGGGGCCCCAACAUAAAAUUGCCGUUGACACUGGAAGACUUGAGUGUGUUUGAGGUAGGCGGAAUGCGUGGUGUAGCGGUGAAAUGCAUAGAUAUCACGCAGAACUCCGAUUGCGAAGGCAGCUUACUAAGCCAUAACUGACACUGAAGCACGAAAGCGUGGGGAUCAAACAGGAUUAGAUACCCUUGUAGUC
rnacentral:rRNA from 1 species